AAGUAAGAAGCGAUUUAUUGCAGUCAAUUUCGACCUGACCUUAGGUAUUCAAUACCCUUACUUU
rnacentral:tRNA from 1 species